UGCUUUGGCAUAUUCCAGCAUCAUUAACCCUGAGGGAAAUCUGCAUUCGCGCGGAAAAUCCAAAAACAAGAGUUCAUCGAUGACACCACUGCUAAAUUUGAUUUCAUUCAGCCUGGGAAGAACUUCGAAAGUUGCUUCUGUUGAAGACACCAAAAACGAAGCAAGUCAGAUAUCAGGGCAGCAGCCAAAGCAAAAAGACCGGAUAGCAUGAAAAAUCAAUGUCUGCAGGGACUUUAAGCACCAAGCAACUAAAGCAAUUGAAAAAAGCUGACAAAGAAAGAUAACGUACUCGAGUAAUUAAAAAGCUGAUAAACACAAAAUAACAGUUAUGGAAUAAGGGGGGGCCAAAAAUGCAAUAAAGAGAAAUAUAUCAAGUAAAAAACAUGUCUUCUUUUUUUUCGGAAUUAUGAAACCGUGUUAAUUAAGUUGCAGAAUCAGAUUCAGUCACUGAUUUCAUCGUGUACUAAUAUCCAAUUCUCUUUUCCUGAUCAGCAACAAUUCCCCUGUAAUAUUUCUAUCAAUUAGAAAUCAGUUUUCCAUCUAUGUUCAUUGUUUAGUUCCUUCUCUUCACCGCAUAGUCUGAUGAUUGCUGAGUCAGAUGCCUCAAGACUUAAGAGGCGUUACAAUUAUCGGUUUCCACAUGUUCUGACAACUAAAGGUACAAAGGAAGGAUGAGACCAGCAAUACAUAUGUCAAAGGACAAUCACAUGGGCCAAGGAUCAAUGUAUUAUAUAUGAUAAGAGUUGGCAGAGUCACUUCACCAAUCUGCUCUUCAAUUUGAGUGUUUUUCCUUUAUUUCAUGUACAGACCUUUUCGAUUUGAAUAAAAUAGUCACUGGGAUCCACCCGUGACCUUUUCUUUUUUUUAAUGUA